rnacentral:rRNA from 1 species
CCUACGGGAGGCAGCAGUGAGGAAUAUUGGUCAAUGGACGAGAGUCUGAACCAGCAAAGCAGCGUGAAGGAUGACUGCCCUAUGGGUUGUAAACUUCUUUUAUAUGGGAAUAAAAUGUUCCACGUGUGGGAUUUUGUAUGUACCAUAUGAAUAAGGAUCGGCUAACUCCGUGCCAGCAGCCGCGGUAAUACGGAGGAUCCGAGCGUUAUCCGGAUUUAUUGGGUUUAAAGGGAGCGUAGGUGGAUUGUUAAGUCAGUUGUGAAAGUUUGCGGCUCAACCGUAAAAUUGCAGUUGAAACUGGCAGUCUUGAGUACAGUAGAGGUAGGCGGAAUUCGUGGUGUAGCGGUGAAAUGCUUAGAUAUUGCGAAGAACUCCGAUUGCGAAGGCAGUUCACUGGACUGCAACUGACGCUGAGGCUCGAAAGUGUGGGUAUCAAACAGGAUUAGAUACCCGAGUAGUC